rnacentral:lncRNA from 1 species
AUACAUUUCUUGAAGCAGGUAAACCAAAAGACGGCCAGUGAGGUUGAAUCCUAGUGACCACAGGACUAGACUGGUUCUUCUUGUCAUAUGAUUGUCGACUUGGGCCAUUCAGCUUCGGGAUGGUAUCCAGGGAAUCUAUUGGCCUCGGAAUAGGAGGUUUUCCUAAGAUUGACCUGCCACCAGCAACAGUUUGGUCAGGGCUUACCCCAAUUUUAGUAUUCUGUGAGCACAAAUUAUGCGGAGCUGAAGUAUUAAAGCUUUCUUUGAUUACGGACUUCUCAGAUGGAAGUCCAACACCUCC